AACGAACGCUGGCGGCAUGCCUAACACAUGCAAGUCGAACGAGACCUUCGGGUCUAGUGGCGCACGUGUGCGUAACGCGUGGGAACCUGCCCUUAGGUUCGGAAUAACUCCCCGAAAGGGGUGCUAAUACCGGAUAAUGUCUUCGGACCAAAGAUUUAUCGCCUUUGGAUGGUCCCGCGUUGGAUUAGCUAGUUGGUAGGGUAAAAGCCUACCAAGGCGACGAUCCAUAGCUGGUCUGAGAGGAUGAUCAGCCACACUGGGACUGAGACACGGCCCAGACUACUACGGGAGGCAGCGGUGGGGAAUAUUGGAGAAUGGGCGCAAGCGUGAUCCAGCAAUGCCGCGUGAGAGAUGAAGGCCUUAGGGUUGUAAAGCUGUUUUACCCGGGAUGAUAAUGACAGUACCGGGAGAAUAAGCUCCGGCUAACUCCGUG
rnacentral:rRNA from 1 species